rnacentral:rRNA from 1 species
UAUUAUAUUUAAUAUUAAACAUUACAUAUUUGAUUAUUAAUAGAUAUAUUCUUUAAAUUCAAAGAAUUUGGCGGUAUUUUAGUCUUGUUAGAGGAACCUGUUUUAUAAUCGAUAAUCCACGAACAUCUUACUUAUUUUAAAUAAUUUGUAUACCGUCAUUAUUAGAUAACUUUUAAAAAAAUAGUUAUUAAAAUUAAAUAAAAUUAAAUAAAAUUAAAUAUAUUAGAUCAAGGUGCAGUUUAUAAAUAAGAAAAAAUGGGUUACAAUAAAAUUUAUUUAAUAAACGAAUUAUAUAAAUGUAAAAAUAUAUGAAGGAGGAUUUAAUUGUAAUUUUUUUUUUAUAAAAUAAUAAUAUGAUAAUAGCUCUAAAAUAUGUACAUAU